rnacentral:rRNA from 1 species
AUUGAACGCUGGCGGCAUGCUUUACACAUGCAAGUCGAACGGUAACAGGCCUUCGGGUGCUGACGAGUGGCGAACGGGUGAGUAAUGCAUCGGAACGUGCCCAGAGGGGGGGGAUAACGCAGCGAAAGCUGUGCUAAUACCGCAUGUGAUCUGAGGAUGAAAGCGGGGGACCAGGCAGCAAUGGUUGGCCUCGCGCCUUUGGAGCGGCCGAUGUCAGAUGAGGUAGGUGGUGGGGUAAAGGCCUACCAAGCCGACGAUCUGUAGCUGGUCUGAGAGGACGACCAGCCACACUGGGACUGAGACACGGCCCAGACUCCUACGGGAGGCAGCAGUGGGGAAUUUUGGACAAUGGGCGCAAGCCUGAUCCAGCAAUGCCGCGUGCGGGAUGAAGGCCUUCGGGUUGUAAACCGCUUUUGUACGGAACGAACAGGCUCUGGCUAAUCCCUGGGGCUGAUGACGGUACCGUAAGAAUAAGCACCGGCUAACUACGUG